rnacentral:rRNA from 1 species
UUAAGCGACUAAGCGUACACGGUGGAUGCCCUGGCAGUCAGAGGCGAUGAAGGACGUGCUAAUCUGCGAAAAGCGUCGGUAAGGUGAUAUGAACCGUUAUAACCGGCGAUGUCCGAAUGGGGAAACCCAGUGUGAUUCGUCACACUAUCGUUAACUGAAUACAUAGGUUAACGAGGCGAACCGGGGGAACUGAAACAUCUAAGUACCCCGAGGAAAAGAAAUCAACCGAGAUUCCCCCAGUAGCGGCGAGCGAACGGGGAGCAGCCCAGAGUCUGAAUCAGCUUGUGUGUUAGUGGAACGGUCUGGAAAGUCCGACGGUACAGGGUGAUAGUCCCGUACACCAAAAUGCACAGGUUGUGAACUCGAAGAGUAGGGCGGGACACGUGGUAUCCUGUCUGAAUAUGGGGGGACCAUCCUCCAAGGCUAAAUACUCCUGACUGACCGAUAGUGAACCAGUACCGUGAGGGAAAGGCGAAAAGAACCCCGGCGAGGGGAGUGAAAAAGAACCUGAAACCGUGUACGUACAAGCAGUGGGAGCACCUUCGGGUGUGACUGCGUACCUUUUGUAUAAUGGGUCAGCGACUUAUAUUCUGUAGCAAGGUUAACCGUAUAGGGGAGCCGCAGGGAAACCGAGUCUUAACUGGGCGUUAAGUUGCAGGGUAUAGACCCGAAACCCGGUGAUCUAGCCAUGGGCAGGUUGAAGGUUGGGUAACACUAACUGGAGGACCGAACCGACUAAUGUUGAAAAAUUAGCGGAUGACUUGUGGCUGGGGGUGAAAGGCCAAUCAAACCGGGAGAUAGCUGGUUCUCCCCGAAAGCUAUUUAGGUAGCGCCUCGUGAACUCAUCUUCGGGGGUAGAGCACUGUUUCGGCUAGGGGGUCAUCCCGACUUACCAACCCGAUGCAAACUACGAAUACCGAAGAAUGUUAUCACGGGAGACACACGGCGGGUGCUAACGUCCGUCGUGAAGAGGGAAACAACCCAGACCGCCAGCUAAGGUCCCAAAGUCAUGGUUAAGUGGGAAACGAUGUGGGAAGGCACAGACAGCCAGGAUGUUGGCUUAGAAGCAGCCAUCAUUUAAAGAAAGCGUAAUAGCUCACUGGUCGAGUCGGCCUGCGCGGAAGAUGUAACGGGGCUAAACCAUGCACCGAAGCUGCGGCAGCGACACUAUGUGUUGUUGGGUAGGGGAGCGUUCUGUAAGCCUGCGAAGGUGUGCUGUGAGGCAUGCUGGAGGUAUCAGAAGUGCGAAUGCUGACAUAAGUAACGAUAAAGCGGGUGAAAAGCCCGCUCGCCGGAAGACCAAGGGUUCCUGUCCAACGUUAAUCGGGGCAGGGUGAGUCGACCCCUAAGGCGAGGCCGAAAGGCGUAGUCGAUGGGAAACAGGUUAAUAUUCCUGUACUUGGUGUUACUGCGAAGGGGGGACGGAGAAGGCUAUGUUAGCCGGGCGACGGUUGUCCCGGUUUAAGCAUGUAGGCUGGUUGUCCAGGCAAAUCCGGAUAAUCAAGGCUGAGGUGUGAUGACGAGGCACUACGGUGCUGAAGUAACAAAUGCCCUGCUUCCAGGAAAAGCCUCUAAGCAUCAGGUAACAUCAAAUCGUACCCCAAACCGACACAGGUGGUCAGGUAGAGAAUACCAAGGCGCUUGAGAGAACUCGGGUGAAGGAACUAGGCAAAAUGGUGCCGUAACUUCGGGAGAAGGCACGCUGGUGUGUAGGUGAAGUCCCUGCGGAUGGAGCUGAGACCAGUCGAAGAUACCAGCUGGCUGCAACUGUUUAUUAAAAACACAGCACUGUGCAAACACGAAAGUGGACGUAUACGGUGUGACGCCUGCCCGGUGCCGGAAGGUUAAUUGAUGGGGUUAUCCGUAAGGAGAAGCUCUUGAUCGAAGCCCCGGUAAACGGCGGCCGUAACUAUAACGGUCCUAAGGUAGCGAAAUUCCUUGUCGGGUAAGUUCCGACCUGCACGAAUGGCGUAAUGAUGGCCAGGCUGUCUCCACCCGAGACUCAGUGAAAUUGAACUCGCUGUGAAGAUGCAGUGUACCCGCGGCAAGACGGAAAGACCCCGUGAACCUUUACUAUAGCUUGACACUGAACAUUGAGCCUUGAUGUGUAGGAUAGGUGGGAGGCUUUGAAGCGUGGACGCCAGUCUGCGUGGAGCCAACCUUGAAAUACCACCCUUUAAUGUUUGAUGUUCUAACGUUGGCCCCUGACCGGGGUUGCGGACAGUGUCUGGUGGGUAGUUUGACUGGGGCGGUCUCCUCCCAAAGCGUAACGGAGGAGCACGAAGGUUAGCUAAUCCUGGUCGGACAUCAGGAGGUUAGUGCAAUGGCAUAAGCUAGCUUGACUGCGAGCGUGACGGCGCGAGCAGGUGCGAAAGCAGGUCAUAGUGAUCCGGUGGUUUCUGAAUGGAAGGGCCAUCGCUCAACGGAUAAAAGGUACUCCGGGGAUAACAGGCUGAUACCGCCCAAGAGUUCAUAUCGACGGCGGUGUUUGGCACCUCGAUGUCGGCUCAUCACAUCCUGGGGCUGAAGUAGGUCCCAAGGGUAUGGCUGUUCGCCAUUUAAAGUGGUACGCGAGCUGGGUUUAGAACGUCGUGAGACAGUUCGGUCCCUAUCUGCCGUGGGCGCUGGAGAAUUGAGGGGGGCUGCUCCUAGUACGAGAGGACCGGAGUGGACGCAUCACUGGUGUUCGGGUUGUCAUGCCAAUGGCACUGCCCGGUAGCUAAAUGCGGAAGAGAUAAGUGCUGAAAGCAUCUAAGCACGAAACUUGCCCCGAGAUGAGUUCUCCCUGAGACUUUAAGUCUCCUGAAGGAACGUUGAAGACGACGACGUUGAUAGGCCGGGUGUGUAAGCGCAGCGAUGCGUUGAGCUAACCGGUACUAAUGAACCGUGAGGCUUAACCUU